rnacentral:rRNA from 1 species
CGCCAGCCUGACGGAGCCAGACCGCGUGGGGGAGGAAGGCCCUUGGGUUGUAAACCCCUUUUCUCAGGGAAGAAGUUCUGACGGUACCUGAGGAAUCAGCCUCGGCUAACUCCGUGCCAGCAGCCGCGGUAAUACGGAGGAGGCAAGCGUUAUCCGGAAUUACUGGGCGUAAAGCGUUCGUAGGGGGCUCGUCAAGUCUGCUGUCAAAGACCGGAGCUCAACUCCGGGCAGGCAGUGGAAACUGGGGAGCUAGAGGGCGGCAGGGGCAGAAGGAAUUCCCGGUGUAGCGGUGAAAUGCGUAGAUAUCGGGAAGAACACCAGAGGCGAAAGCGUUCUGCUGGGCCGCGCCUGACCCUGAGGGACGAAAGCCAGGGGAGCG